AUCUACGGCCAUGCUACCCUGAACAAGCCGAUCCUGUCUUGAUCUCGGAAGCUAAGCAGGGUCGGGCCUGGUUAGUACUUGGAUGGGGGAUCCCCUAGGAAGACCAGGUGCUAUAGGUG
rnacentral:rRNA from 1 species